UACGGAGGGUGCAAGCGUUAUCCGGAUUCACUGGGUUUAAAGGGUGCGUAGGUGGGUUGGUAAGUCAGUGGUGAAAUCUCCGAGCUUAACUUGGAAACUGCCAUUGAUACUAGCAGUCUUGAAUAUUGUGGAGGUCAGCGGAAUAUGUCAUGUAGCGGUGAAAUGCUUAGAUAUGACAUAGAACACCAAUUGCGAAGGCAGCUGGCUAAGCAUAUAUUGACACUGAGGCACGAAAGCGUGGGGAUCAAACAGG
rnacentral:rRNA from 1 species